CGCUAGCGACAGGCCUAACACAUGCAAGUCAGGGGCAGCACAAGGAGCAAUCUGAGGUGGCGACCGGCGCACGGGUGAGUAACACGUAUGCAACCUGCCUGUAAGCGGGGAAUAACCCGUUGAAAGACGGACUAAUACCGCAUAAUACUAAAUUACUGCAUGGUAAUUUAUUUAAACAUUUAUGGCUUACAGAUGGGCAUGCGCAUGAUUAGCUAGUUGGAGAGGUAACGGCUCCCCAAGGCAACGAUCAUUAGGGGUUCUGAGAGGAAGGUCCCCCACACUGGUACUGAGACACGGACCAGACUCCUACGGGAGGCAGCAGUGAGGAAUAUUGGUCAAUGGACGAGAGUCUGAACCAGCCAAGUCGCGUGCAGGAAGAAUGUUCCCUAUGGAUUGUAAACUGCUUUUGCAGGGGAAUAAAGUGCAUCACGUGUGAUGUUUUGUAUGUACUCUGCGAAUAAGGAUCGGCUAACUCCGUGCCAGCCGCGGC
rnacentral:rRNA from 1 species